GACGAACGCUGGCGGCGUGCUUAACACAUGCAAGUCGAACGGGCCUGCCUGGCUUUGGUUGGGUGGGUGAGUGGCGAACGGGUGAGUAACACGUGAGUAACCUGCCCUCUUCUCUUGGAUAACUGCUUGAAAGGGCGGCUAAUACGGGAUGUUCUGGCUGCCUCGCAUGGGGUGGUUUGGAAAGAUUCGGCCUGGUUUUGGUUGUUUUGGUGGGGGAUGGGCUCGCGGCUUAUCAGCUUGUUGGUGGGGUGAUGGCCUACCAAGGCGGUGACGGGUAGCCGGCCUGAGAGGGUGGACGGUCACACUGGGACUGAGACACGGCCCAGACUCCUCGGGAGGCAGCAGUGGGGGAUUUUGCACAAUGGGCGCAAGCCUGAUGCAGCGACGCCGCGUGAGGGAUGGAGGCCUUCGGGUUGUGAACCUCUGUCGCCGGUGAUGUAGGCUCUGCUUUGU
rnacentral:rRNA from 1 species